CCUACGGGCGGCAGCAGUGAGGAAUAUUCGUCAAUGGACGAGAGUCUGACCCAGCCACGUCGCGUGAAGGAUGACUGCCCUAUGGGUUGUAAACUUCUUUUAUAUGGGAAUAAAAUGAUCCACGUAUGGGAUCUUGUCUGUACCAUAUGAAUAAGGAUCGGCUAACUCAGUGCCAGCAGCCGCGGUAAUACGGAGGAUCCGAGCGUUCUCCGGAUUUAUUGGGUUUAAAGGGAGCGUAGGUGGUUUGUUAAGUCAGUUGUGAAAGUUUGCGGCUCAACCGUAAAAUUGCAGUUGAAACUGGCAGUCUUGAGUACAGUAGAGGUGGGCGGAAUUCGUGGUGUAGCGGUGAAAUGCUUAGAUAUCACGAAGAACUCCGAUUGCGAAGGCAGUUCACUGGACUGCAACUGACACUGAGGCUCGAAAGUGUGGGUAUCAAACAGGAUUAGAUACCCUUGUAGUC
rnacentral:rRNA from 1 species